rnacentral:rRNA from 1 species
CUUCGGGGCGCAGCAGUGAGGAAUAUUGCACAAUGGGGGGAACCCUGAUGCAGCAACGCCGCGUGGAGGAUGACGCAUUUCGGUGUGUAAACUCCUUUUAUAUGUCAAGAAAAUGACGGUAGCAUAUGAAUAAGCACCGGCUAACUCCGUGCCAGCAGCCGCGGUAAUACGGAGGGUGCAAGCGUUACUCGGAACCACUGGGCGUAAAGGACGCGUAGGCGGGUUGGAAAGUCAGGUGUGAAAUCCUACAGCUUAACUGUAGAACUGCACUUGAAACUUCUAAUCUAGAGUAUGGGAGGGGGAGAUGGAAUUAGUGGUGUAGGGGUAAAAUCCGUAGAUAUCACUAGGAAUACCUAAAGCGAAGGCGAUCUCCUGGAACAUUACUGACGCUAAGGCGUGAAAGCGUGGGGAGCAAACAGGAUUAGAUACCCCCGUAGUC